GUGCCAGCAGCCGCGGUAAUACGAAGGGUGCAAGCGUUACUCGGAAUUACUGGGCGUAAAGCGUGCGUAGGUGGUCGUUUAAGUCCGUUGUGAAAGCCCUGGGCUCAACCUGGGAACUGCAGUGGAUACUGGGCGACUAGAGUGUGGUAGAGGGUAGCGGAAUUCCUGGUGUAGCAGUGAAAUGCGUAGAGAUCAGGAGGAACAUCCAUGGCGAAGGCAGCUACCUGGACCAACACUGACACUGAGGCACGAAAGCGUGGGGAGCAAACAGGAUUAGAUACCCUGGUAGUCCACGCCCUAAACGAUGCGAACUGGAUGUUGGGUGCAAUUUGGCACGCAGUAUCGAAGCUAACGCGUUAAGUUCGCCGCCUGGGGAGUACGGUCGCAAGACUGAAACUCAAAGGAAUUGACGGGGGCCCGCACAAGCGGUGGAGUAUGUGGUUUAAUUCGAUGCAACGCGAAGAACCUUACCUGGCCUUGACAUGUCGAGAACUUUCCAGAGAUGGAUUGGUGCCUUCGGGAACUCGAACACAGGUGCUGCAUGGCUGUCGUCAGCUCGUG
rnacentral:rRNA from 1 species